rnacentral:rRNA from 1 species
GAUGAACGCUAGCGACAGGCUUAACACAUGCAAGUCGAGGGGCAGCACAGGUAGCAAUACCGGGUGGCGACCGGCGCACGGGUGAGUAACGCGUAUGCAACUUACCUAUCAGAGGGGGAUAACCCGGCGAAAGUCGGACUAAUACCGCAUGAAGCAGGGGCCCCGCAUGGGGAUAUUUGCUAAAGAUUCAUCGCUGAUAGAUAGGCAUGCGUUCCAUUAGGCAGUUGGCGGGGUAACGGCCCACCAAACCGACGAUGGAUAGGGGUUCUGAGAGGAAGGUCCCCCACAUUGGUACUGAGACACGGACCAAACUCCUACGGGAGGCAGCAGUGAGGAAUAUUGGUCAAUGGGCGUAAGCCUGAACCAGCCAAGUCGCGUGAGGGAUGAAGGUUCUAUGGAUCGUAAACCUCUUUUAUAAGGGAAUAAAGUUCGGGACGUGUCCCGUUUUGUAUGUACCUUAUGAAUAAGGAUCGGCUAACUCCGUG